CAGUAGCCGCGGUAAUACGUAGGGUGCAAGCGUUAAUCGGAAUUACUGGGCGUAAAGCGUGCGCAGGCGGUUAUAUAAGACAGAUGUGAAAUCCCCGGGCUCAACCUGGGAACUGCAUUUGUGACUGUAUAGCUAGAGUACGGCAGAGGGGGAUGGAAUUCCGCGUGUAGCAGUGAAAUGCGUAGAUAUGCGGAGGAACACCGAUGGCGAAGGCAAUCCCCUGGGCCUGUGCUGACGCUCAUGCACGAAAGCGUGGGGAGCAAACAGGAUUAGAUACCCCCGUAGUCCCUGUCUCUUAUAC
rnacentral:rRNA from 1 species